CCUACGGGCGGCAGCAGUGGGGGAUAUUGCACAAUGGGGGGAACCCUGAUGCAGCGACGCCGCGUGGGUGAAGAAGCGCCUCGGCGCGUAAAGCCCUGUCAGCAGGGAAGAAAAUGACGGUACCUGAAGAAGAAGCACCGGCUAACUACGUGCCAGCAGCCGCGGUAAUACGUAGGGGGCAAGCGCUAUCCGGAUUUACUGGGUGUAAAGGGGGCGCAGACGGCGAUGCAAGCCAGGAGUGAAAGCCGGGGGCCCAACCCCCGGACAGCUCUUGGAACUGCGUGGCUGGAGUGCAGGAGGGGCAGGCGGAAUUCCUGGUGUAGCGGUGAAAUGCGUAGAUAUCAGGAGGAACACCAGUGGCGAAGGCGGCCUGCUGGCCUGCAACUGACGUUGAGGCCCGAAAGCGUGGGGAGCAAACAGGAUUAGAUACCCCUGUAGUC
rnacentral:rRNA from 1 species